ACCCAGCUGACGAGUCCCAAAUAGAUGGAAACGCGCGUCCUGGAU
rfam:Schistosoma haematobium scaffold758_21, whole genome shotgun sequence.